UUGCUAGGCAAGUUUGCUGGAUUUCUGACAGAAACACAACACAUGGCCCAAGAUGACAUGCAAGGAUUGCCUCACCAAGAAGACGAUUGGUGAAGGGUUUUACCUUGAUGGCCUCUAUUACAUAUCAAAAAACAGUCCCAGAGGAUUUCAAGCCAAGUCCAGUCCAUCCCAAGAUAGUCAAUUAUGGCAUCAACGUUUAGCUCAUCCUUCCCAACCUGUUUUGUCUUCCUUGUUUCCAAACUUAGGUAAUGAUUUAAUUUCGUGUGAAACAUGUCAUUUGUCUAAAGCCACCAGAUUGUCUUUUACCUCAUCCUUAUCUAGGACUAGUAAAGUUUUCGAACUAGUUCACUCAGAUGUAUGGGGACCAACGUUUGAAUCUUUUGAUGGUUAUAAGUAUUAUGUAACUUUUGUUGAUGAUUUCUC